AUCUGGAAAGAUACAAGGUUCAGUCAGGCUCUGCAGGCAGCAUUUCAUAGGAGACAAAUAAUCUGGGGUAUCACACUCAUGAUGGAAUUCCUAACAGUGCAGUGUACUCCCCCUAAGGGAGUGCUCCUUCUUUGCUGGUGAAACCUAGAGCAGUCACUAUACUUUAGAUACCAUGUUGUGGCCUCCAUCUCUGUAGCCAACACACUGGAUGGGGCUGGGCAGUAGUAGUUGUGCAGACUCCAGCAGCUAAUGGGUUUUGUUCACUACAAACUAGACCAAGUAUUCGCUCUUUCAGGCCACUGAACAGCCAUCUAGUGUUAAUAACUAGAGGACAUUAUUCACCAGUGCUGAAUUUGAACUUCUGUCCUAGACAGUGGUGCUGGAACGAUUUUUAUAGUGCUGGUGCUGAAGGUGGAAACCACGUAUUUGGGUCGUUAUUACUACUUCAAGCCAUGAGCUGCGACAGCACCCCUAAUUCCAGCACCUACGGUCACAGAGUUCAGAUUCCUAAAUCUGUUUCCAGGUUCCUAAAUCAUCCUGUCUCAGGCCUUUUUCUUAAAAUUAUCUUAACACUGAUUAUCUAAGCAUCAAUAAAAUACAAUAAAUACAAAGGUGUACAGAUAUUUUAACAAACCACACAGCAGGUGGAGUAAUCAUUUGGAAGGGGAGAGUCACUGAGCAUCUCUCAUACUCAGACUCAUAUUCUUCUAGCAUUCUUAUUGACCCCUGUUCAUUCAGAUUUUGCAGGCACAGACGCAAUGACCUGGGAAAAAAUUUAACCCUGACUCACUUGUGCUCUUGUAGAAUGAGUCUUCACCCCAUGAGGGGGAGGAAUGUUAGACAGCUUAUAGCAGAGUAAGAUACAGCGCAAGAUCUAUUUAGAGAUUCUCUGAGAAGAUAUAUCUUGACUUUGAACUCUUUCCGCUACAGCUAUAAAUAAUCUGGGAGAUUUUCUGAUUGUUUUUGUCCUUUGCAGGCAAAAGGCUAAGGCUUGUCGUGUGUUGGGGGAAUGACAUCCGUUUUCUUUUUCAGAUGCAUGUGGUUUUGGAAAAAAACACAGGUAAGUGAAUUGACUGUUUGUGUGAAACUCUGAAACUACUUUGUGGAUGAACUUAGGAUGUAAAUGCUAUGACUUUGUUUCUAUGGAAUAUGGCGUAAGGUGGAUUGUCAUCAGUACUCUGAGACACCUUCCUGGCUGAGGUGAUGGCUACCAGGAACAGAACCUUCAAGGAUAGAAGAGACAUGGAUUCUGCCUUUCUCCUGUGUCAGGAGAUUGGAAAAGGACUGAAUUUUGAUCGUCGACUGAGAGGACAUGUGUAGGGGACUCAGGAAAUAGAACUGUCUGGAUGAGUUUUAUCGAAGGGCAGGCCCCUCCAUGGUGAUCUGGACCUCCCUGGAAAACCCUGAAGCCACUGAAGAUAUAUCUGCUGUAUCUACUGCUGAUUGAAGAGUAGUCCUGGGAACCACUUGCCUUCUUCAAUGGGAGCCUGAAAUUGGGCUCUAUUCUCUUGUGGAAAUUGAAGAAUAAAUGAAGACAAUGGAGAUCCCAAGCCAGGCCAUGUGGUGGUAAGAGGGAACAGGAGAGGCAAUAGGUUUGCUCUGCCCUUCAUCUACUUGGCUAGAGGAAUGAGGAGAGUAGGGGCACAUGCACAGACUAACGGACACUGCUUUCAAGCGUUCUCUGGAAGCAUGGGGAGCAUGCAUACUUACAGUGGAACAGGGAGCAGCACUCAAAGAAAAAGGUUACUCACCUUGUGCAGUUAAUUAUGGUUCUUUAAGAUGUGUCCCCGGUGGGUGCUCCACAUAAGGUGCGCAUAUACCUCUGAAGUCCUUGGAGAUUCUUCUGCUACCAGUGCCCAUUUGGCCUGCACAUGAGUCCUAUGCCUCCUCAUACCAGACACUGACGCUAUAUACGGAUGCGCAGGUGAACCACCCUCAAUUCUUUUUCCACCUUACCAUCUCCACCGAGAAAGGGCCAAGGCACAGGGGAAGAAAAGGUGGGUAGCGGAGUACCCACAGGGGGACACAUCUCAAAGAACUGUAAUUUAUUGCAGCAGGAGGAUUUUAACCCUGAGAACCAUUGAGGAAACAUGCCUGAAAGCAAAGAUCGGGGUGAAAUGAAGCAUGCAACCCACAUCCUGUGAGAGGAGAUAAGGAGUUGUCACGGGUUUGAUCAGUGGAUGGACGCAUAGAUGAAGCAGGCUCCAGGGAUUAAGAACCUCAAGUCUUGUCAUUUUUACUUGAAUUCUGGCAUUAUGGAAAAGCGAGUUAGGAAUUUAUAAGUUCAACCAGCACAAUUUGCAAGAGACUCACUUCUUUAUCAUAUUUUUAUGCACUAAUGAUCCCAGGAAAAUCUUCUUUUUAACUUGGAAGACUUUGACAAAGCCAUGUUGUAUUCAAAUACAAGCCUCCCAAAAGAAGCUAAAGGAAGUCAGAGUCUAAAAGAUCCCAGUCGUCUUUUUUUCAAGCCUUGAAACAAUGAAGAUAACAACGUGAACAUUUUAAUAAAGCCUCAAAAAUCUCAGCCACAAAUUUGAAAAUUCUGUGGCCAAAAGUUUGGCGUUUAAAUAAAAUCAGCCAGGACACCUCCCAAAACAAUUAAUAGAUGUUGUGAGUGCUUACCACUUCUGAAAAUCAUGCCAAAUUGUAUUUAGAUGCCUAACCUCAGGGUAUCCAAUAUUGGCCUAGAUUAUUAUUUACUACUGUGGCAACUAAUGCAAUUUCUGAGAUGAGAAAAAAAGCAUCAAGGAUCAGGAACUUGAGUGUUCAUGCUGAUUAUAUAGUAAAUGUAUGGCUUACCUGGUUUACCCACAGGCUGAUAUAUGUGCUGGUUACCAACCUGUAAAAGAAAAUUUAAGAUUAGUAUUCUAGUUAUUACAGCUACAGUGUUUAUAACUCAGGAUCCUCAUCUGAAACAUUUGUUGUUGUAAGCGUAGCCAUUAGAGUUAUCCAAUUUCUUUAAGAUUUCCAGUCACAGACAUUCCAAAAGUAUUUCCCCUGCUCCCCCCGCAUUACUUGAAGGUAUCACGAGACACAUAUUGCUUCCAACUACAAUUUCAGAUAACAUUACUUAGGAUAAAAACGUUCAUUCAUCUUGUGUUGUGCUGCUCACAACCACAUUGGCCUUUAUUUGUAUUACUAAUAGUUUGUCCUUGCAAGGCUGAUACUGGCAUUAGUCAAAUAGAAUGGCACAUUUACCACAUAUUUAGUUCUCUAUCUAAAGAUAAUUUUUAAACAAGUUGUGGCUGUUAACAGAAAAAAUUGUAGCAGAACAGUUAGAAGACUGCAUGCCUAGAGUCUUUUCUAUUGCUAUGGUUUAUAUCAGAUUAAACAGACUUUUAGAAAUUCACAGUAAAAACAGAAUAAAUAAAAGAUACUCUACUUAUUAAUUUGGAAAUUCUUUAUAUUGGAUUGAAAUUAGUUGCCUUGCAUAUUAUAUUUAGCUUACUGUCAAGUCAGAGAGAAAUCUGUUUAGUCAGAACGGAACAAAUGCUUUAUAUGAGACUUGCAGUUGCCUUCUUGAAAAACAACAAUCUAAAUACACUCAUAUGUUUUAUGAAAGAGCUUCUGCAGAUUGGGGUUUCUUUUGCAAAUUAAAAAUGUUGACAUAGCUACAGUUGUCAGUUAAGCACAGCAAUAAAACAUCUCAACAGGACAUUUAUUUAUUAAGUGAAAAUCAUUCUGAAACAAGAUGCAUAUCUAUACGGUAAAAAGACUGGAAAGAGAUUUAAAGUCUCAAUUGCAUUAAAUCUAAGGGGAGCUGCAUUUUCAACACUUUAAAAAGAACUAAUUUUGAGAACUGAGGGUUCACCUAAGCUCAUGCAAAGACACAUGAGUUCUUGCAUGAACUCACCAUUAGCUAUGGAUGAAUCCAGUAUAAAUAAUAGAGUGCUAAUUAAUUCACAUGCCCAAAUUAGCUGUUACUAAUGUAACCUCAGCAAUCAAACUUGAUUUUGCAGUGUGUGUUAGAGAACAUCUGUGCUUACAAAUCUCUCUCUCUUAGGUACUCACAUGGCCCACAUUACUGUAGUGACUGAGCACCUCAGAAUCUUUAAAUUAUUUAUACUUCCAUCACCUCGGUGAGGUAGGGAACUAUUACCCCCAUUUUAGAGACGGGGACUGAGGAACAGAGACAUUAAAGGACUUGCCUAAGGUUGCAAAGGAAGUCUGUGGCAGAGCAGGGAAUUGAACCUGGGAUUCCCGAGUUCCAGGCUAGUGCCCCAGCGAAUGGAUUAUCCUUCCAUUAGCAAAGCUAACGGGAUAAGCAGCACUAGAGACAGCAAUGCAGUAUUUAUCCAAAAGAAGUUUUGUCAGGUCUGCCUUAUACCAGCUGCCUUAUAAAAGCUCAAUUUAACCAAACCAGAGGUUGCAACAUUCGCAGAAAUGAAUUUUAUGGUAUUAAAAUUAAAGGCAGAGAUGGCAGUGACAGCUAUAGUUAAAGUUGUCCAACACUUUCCAUUAUAAGACCCUGUUUCCAGCUGCUUAAAACUUGGCCAAAUUUUAACCAUGUGGUCUGAAAAUUUCCAUGCUGGGUCUCUGCCUCAUAUUUGCAGAAGUACUGAACACUCAUAACUGCAAGUGAAGCCCACUGGAGCUGCGUUCUAAAGUAUUCUGAAAAAUCAAGCUCUAGCCAUCUCAAGCCGAGCACCAAAAAUUAGUGAAUACUUUUAGCUUUUAUCAUUUUGUGCUUCAGCUCCCCCUGCUGUAAAAUGGGGAUAAUUUCCCCACCUCACCUCAUCUGGGAAUGCAGGCUCAGUAGUUUGAGUUUUACAUAUAGUGUAUUUCUCAUUUAGGGCCCAAGCAGACAUCCUGGGAUCAAGCAGCCAUGAGAAGCAAAAUUUAUUAAAGGGGAUAGGGGGAACCGAACUUUGGUGUCCACACAUUGUGGGUGAGUGCUCUAACCACUAGGCUAAAGGUUACAAGGAACCAUCUCUCCCACCACCUCCUGUUGGGGCUUAAGUGUGUGCUAGGUGACCUGGUGCCUAAACUGAGGCUGCUGUGCACAUGGCAGGCGGCAGAUCUUUAGAUGCCAUGGGCACUUUACCAGCAGAAAUUUAGGUGCCUACAGAGAUAGGCAGCAGCUGGGCAGGGGUUUUGAGGAUCUAAAUUUUGGAUUUAGGUAUCUGAAGUGGCAGUUAGGUGUCUUAAUCCCUUUGUGGAUCUGUCUCAAAGUCCCUCUCCCCUAUAAUAUUUAAGUGAUGAAUGAGCACAGUAGAAUCUCAGAGUUUUGAACCACACAAUUCAUUUGGAACCUGAAUCAGGCAGCAGCAGACUCACAAAAAAAAAAAAAGAAAAGCAAAUACAGUACAGUAAUUACAUUACUGUGUUAAAUGUAAACUAAAAAAAAUAAA